GAGUUUGAUCAUGGCUCAGGAUGAACGCUAGCGGCGCGCUUAAUGCAUGCAAGUCGAGCGAUGAGGCCCCUUCGGGGGUACAUCAGCGGCAGACGGGUGAGUAACACGUAGGCAACCUGCCCUUCAGACGGGGAUAACAGUUGGAAACGGCUGCUAAUACCCGAUAGGUACCCGGGGUUAUCGAGAUUCGGGGUAUAAAGUUACGACGCUGAAGGAGGGGCCUGCGGCCCAUCAGUUAGUUGGUGAGGUAACGGCUCACCAAGACGAAGACGGGUAGGGGGUGUGAGAGCAUGGCCCCCCACAAUGGGACUGAGAUACGGCCCAUACUCCUACGGGAGGCAGCAGCAGGGAAUCUUGCACAAUGGACGGAAGUCUGAUGCAGCGACGCCGCGUGAAUGAAGAAGGCCUUCGGGUUGUAAAAUUCUUUUCUGGGGGAAGAGGAAGGACGGUACCCCAGGAAUAAGUGUCGGCUAACUACGUGCCAGCAGCCGCGGUAAUACG
rnacentral:rRNA from 1 species